AUUUAUUCCAUUGAAAGUCUGUUUUGUAAAAAAAUAACCUUUAAUGGAAAUACAAUCACAAUUGUUUUUUUUAUACAUUUCUAAGGAUCUAAAUAAAAAAGUUAUAAUAAUCACGUUUUUAUAGCAAGUUCAAGCUUCAUAUUCGAAACUACGAAAACACUAUUGUGAAUAGAUAAUGUGUGAGACGAAACCCACACUGAAAUUUGCAUUAUUCGAUGAUUUGCAAAUUUUUACGCGGCUAAAGUUCGAAGUGCGAUUUCAAUUUUUUCGGAGCGUAUUUAUUAUAAAUAAAUCAAUAAUAUGUUAAUAAACGUAUUACUAGAGACUUAAACGUGUUUAAUGAAGUGUUCGUAAAGUACUUUUGUAUAAAACAUUAAAUAUUUCGGAUAAAUCUUGUUAAGUUUGUUAUAGAAUCAAGCAACCGUCGAUCACUUAUUGCAGUAUCAUUUCAAAGUUACAUGUGCAUACAGAUUCAUAAUAUUAAUAGUAAAUCAAUAUAAUAUGUUAAGUCGUAAUUACUCACUGCACUCUGCAUAUGCCUUGUGACCUCUGUUGAAGGUCAUUCAACAUUCAAUUCAAUAUAAGUCAUGAUUGGUUUAAAUAUUGCUAUUGAUCAGUAGCAACUACAUUGUUAUGCUAACAAUUAGUGUUCUUUCGACCAGCCAAUGUGCGCUGCGUGUACCGGCAGGUAGUCAAAUAUUUCUUCUCUGACUACCAGCCAAUGACAACUGCUUGAAAUGUUCUGAUGAGCUGAAUAAAGGACUGAAACGGUGAACAAAGAAAAAAAGGAGGAGCGUAUUUAGCACCAUAACAGCUUUGCAUGCACAAUCCAUAGCUGCUCUUACUGCAACAGCAAGCAUACCAAGCUGCAAGAGCGCCACUCAAAAUUGUUUGACUGACUAUGCAACAAGUUCACGUUUAAUGCUAUUUAUAAGUCGGUAUUAUGCAAACUAUGCCAUUUGCAGAAAAUAGCAUCAAGUGCCUAAGCAGAAUCGCGCAUAAGAAAUACUAACGCAAUUACUGCCACAGUUUUGUAAAUACUGAAAAUGAAACAAAGUGCAUUUCUGCAUAUAAAUAG